CAGCCGAAUAGUCACUUCCUUCUACGUCAGUGUGGUGGGGCAUCUGCCCCACACUGGCAGAUGAGGGGUUAAAGCAGCCCCGGGGAGACUACACAGGAGGCAGCCAGUUAGGAAAGGGCUUGUAGAGACAGCCAAUCAGGGCCAGGCUGGGCCAUACAAGAAGGGCUGCUGAACAGAGCAGCUGGAGUCACUCCCUGGAGUUUGAGGAGGGAGGACUGGCUGCCCUGAAGGUGGAAGAAGAGACAGCACUAUGGCCAGAGCAGAGCAGAGCAGAGCUGGGUGGGGCUAGGGGAGCAUGAGUGAGCUCCCAGCUGACCGCUGCCAGACUGAGGCCCUGAUACAAGGGUGGAGAAGGUACUAGAGCUGUGGGGAAGAGGCUCAGGGAAACAGAUGGCAGGGGUUGGAGGUGAUGAAGUGCAUGGCUGCUGGCUAGAGGGUCCCUGGUCUGGGAUCUGGAGUAGUGGGUGGGUGGGCCUGGGUCCCCCCCUUUGGCCCCACUUCCCACUGAGGGGAGUGGCUAGAGUAUGGGCUGCAGUUUGCCACUGAUGCAGGUGGCUAGACCCUAGACUGCAACCUGCCACUGAGGCAAGUGGCUGGACAGAGGCUCCCUGAAAGGAGGGGGAUAGAAAUGAGUGGGGCACAGCUGGAGGACUAUGUCCAGAAGAGGAUACCACGGUCCUGAGAGUGACACAUGUCCUGAUGACAGAAGAAACAGUGGUGAGAUGCCACUAGAUGGGGGUGCACCGACAAACCAGAGCUAAUUCCCAGGAUGGCUAGCAGGAGGCGCUGCAGUGGUGAGUUGUGCCCCAUUACAUGUGGUGGAAAAUGCAGGUAAAUGGUCACCCCUGAUAUAAGGGGAAGAGAGAGGACUGUGGGGACUAUUGCCUGGUAUAGACGUUUGAGAGACUAAGGGGCACGUAAGGUGGAGAAAAUGGAGUCAGAGGCUGCCUUUGUGGAGGGCUCUGAGGCCUUCACAAACUGGACUCCAAAGUCGGUGCCACUGCGGAAAGGGGCCGACAAGGAGCAAGGGCACUUCAGAUCCUGCUACAGCAGGUGCUCAUAGCCCAGCAGAGACAAUGGGAGGCACAUGAAUACUUGCAGACCUGUAUGGUCGGACUUGCAAAGCAGCAGUUGUACCUGUUAAAUUGCUGCGAGGGGGAGUCCAUAAGAAUCCCAGGAAGCGAGAGGGGAAUUCAGGCACCAGGAAGAGGAGGCCAGGAGAAUGUUUCACCUGUGGAUGGCAGGGACACUUUAAGAGUGAAUGCCCCUACCGAAGAGAGGAACAGAGGCCUCAUCUGGAGAAUGGAAAGUAGAAAGAGCCAGGAGAAUCCCCCUUGUGAGGAGAACAGGGAGGCAACGGGCAUGUUGCCCCUGUGGGCAACAGGGGCACCUGAAGAGAGUGCCAGACUGAGGCCCUGAUACAAGGGCGGAGAACGUGCUAGGGCUGUGGGGAAGAGGCCCAGAGAAACCGACCAAGUGGGGCACAACUGGAGUACACUGCAGAAGAGGACAUGGCAGUCCUGAGAGUGACAUGGGUCCUGACAACAGAAGCGACAGCAGCGAGACACCACUAGAUGGGGGCACACCAGCAAACCAGAGCUAAUUCCCAGGCCGGCCAGCAGGAGGCACCACAGUGGCUUGGUUUUCACCCCACUCUUCAGUGCUUGCAUCAAAGAGUAACUUUCCAUGGGGAUCACAGCUAGCAGAACCUCUUCUCCCUGGAAUUUAGGUACAGGAGUUGCAACCGCCAGCCUUCUUCUUCACUCCCCAGGGCACUGGCCAAUACUGAGUAUUUGGCCACUCUCUGUGCUCCACUACCUUAGCCCACUAACUCCAUUCUCUGGCUGCUAUCCUGGACUUUCUUCAGCCUUGAAAUGAAGUGGGUCUACUCCAGAACGAAGUUUUGACUGUUCUUGGGCUACUGUUUCUCUGUUAAUUUCGAGUGUACUAUCAUUGUGGCAUCUAUGUUCCAAGUACAAAGUUAAGACUCACCCAUCCAUGCCCGUUAUGGGAAGCUGGAACUGCUGCUAGUGCUAGUUUUGAAAUUCCUUACACUCAGGGGCCUUGUUGUCCCUUUGCAGGAUAGGUAUAAUUCCCACUGAACUCAAUGAACUUGUAUCCUGUGGUGGGAAAACUGAGCUCAGAGAGUACAAGGUCUGAGACUGAGCCUAACCUCUGUACAUGGCUGCAGGAAAGACUUCUUGUGCUCUCUUGCCAUUUGUGCAGUAUAAACCCAGUCUGGAUCUAAAUGUUUCUUGGAGAAAAUUAAAAUAUAUAUUUAGGUGUCAGGUGCCACCACUAUUGUAGUAUUUCAAAAGACCAUGGCAAACUCUUGCUUUGGCUAACCUGCUUUCUUUCCAGAAAAAAAUCUUGUUGAUCUUAAUUUAUUUUUAAGCAUUGUUAGUGGGCAGAAGCAGCACAUUUGAAUUUCCAUUUUUGUUAUGAAUAAAGUAUGAACAUGAUUGAA